rnacentral:pre_miRNA from 1 species
UCCCAGAUAGCCAUACUCAAAAUGGAGGCCCUCUCCAGGCCUUGUGAAGGGGAAAUUGCCCACAUUUUGUGUGUUGCUAUGUGGAG